AGGCAACUCUGCGUCCCCCAGGCUGCAGGAACAAAUUCCAAACCCCAGGACGAAUCCAUUUAUACUGAAUAAAAAUACUCCUAGCUAUGGAGGAGCUCAGCAACGUGGCCUGUAGCAAUCAGCAAGGGGACCAGAGAAGAGGACCCAACUUUAAUUUCCUGACCCACUUCCUUACAAAUACUGUUGUAAUGACCACUCAAUCCAGGAAGUUUUAUAGGAUUGAAGACACAUUUCUGGAGUCAUAUUACAAAAGUUGAAGGAAUAAGGGUCACUUUUGUUUAAACUAGCUGUCUAAAGGCUGCAAUGUUACAGAUGUAGAGCAUGGUAAUAAAGUCCAGCUGAUGUAAUGAAA